AUUGAACGCUGGCGGCAGGCCUAACACAUGCAAGUCGAGCGAGCGGCGGGCGGGUGAGUAAUGUAUGGGGAUCUGCCUGAUGGCGGGGGAUAACUACUGGAAAGGGUAGCUAAUACCGCAUACCAUCAGAUGAACCCAUAUGGGAUUAGCAUGUUGGGGGGGUAACGGCUAACCUAGGCGACGAUCCCUAGCUGGUCUGAGGGGAUGAUCAGCCACAUGGGGACGGAGACACGGCCCAGCCUCUACCGGGAGGAAGCAGUGGGGAAUAUUGGCCAUGGGGCGCAAGCCUGAGGCAGCAAUGCCGCGUGGAUGAAGAAGGCCUUCGGUUUUUAAAGUACUUUCUGUCGGGAGGCGGUACCUACAGAAGAAGCACCGGCUAACUCCGUGCCAGCAGCCGCGGUAAUUC
rnacentral:rRNA from 1 species